GGUGUCGCCAAGUGGCUUUGGGAUGGAGGCGGUUCUUCAAAUUGGCGGGGGAGGAGAAGCCCCCGACUCGUGGAAGGGCAUGCUGGGGAGAGGGUGCCUGGGACCCGGGUCGAAAGACCUUUGCCAAGUUGUGCUGUGUGUUGGAUUUGAAGUUCGCUGCCUCUCUGCUCCUGGGGUGGCAGCCCCAGGAGGUGUGCGGACACGGGAGAAAGGGCUCUGCCUUCCCAGGGCCCCUCCUCCCCACGAUCAGGAAGCCAAGAGGAGCUUUGCAGAGGGAACGGCGUUUCCUCUCGCUGGGGGGUCUGUGCUUCCCUGGGCUGCAUGUUGACUGGAUUUGGGAGGAGGAGGAAGACUCGGCCCUGGGCACAGCCAGCUCCUCUAACUCUGAUUGAGCGCGAGGCCAAGGUGCCAGCCAGCCGACUGAGCAGGAACUCGCCUGUGAGCUGGCACAGGUGAGCCGCCCUGACGUGGAGGCUCAGAGGCUCUUGGGCCAGUGAACGUUAGAGGCAAGGUGACAGCUGUCAGGGACCAAGCUGCAGUAGCCAGGCCCCCAUGCAGACAAUUGUCCCCUAAUACUCAGGGCUUCAGGUUCAUUUGGUUAGAGGUGCCCCCUCCCUAAACCUAAAUCAGGGUGGCCAAGGUGCCUACCACGGAAUUAAGCAAAGGAAAAAAAAAUCCCUGGUAUCACCCGUGAGCCCUUCUUCGCAUCUUCUCACGGUUCCACUUGGAAGUGUGUUCUCCCAUUGUUUCCUCUCUCCCGACGCUGUGGUUUGUCUUUAUUUCCACUUUGUUCAGAAAUAGGGCUGCUUACGCGUCGGAAGCGCUUGAGAUGGGCUCACGAGGAGAAAGUUGCCUCGGGAGAUUCUUUUUCCAUUAAAGACAGAAGACGGCCCAGGACUGGGGCUUUGGCACCUCAGUAAGCAGAUUUUCUCUAGCCUCUCAUUUGGUUCUGGAGUACAUACAUCCCAGUGGGGUUUGUUUUUUUGUUUCGGUUUUUGUGUUUUGCAGUGUUUGUCUUUUGUAUGGCAUGUGCCUGUUAAUGUGAAGAUACUUUGUAUUCUUUGGGAACCUAACAGCUAAGGACAAUGAAAAGCAGCCCCUGCAAGCUUCUGCAUCUAGAAUGGAUGAGCAAUGCUGUCUUGCUGUAUAGCACAGGGAACUGUACACAGCCUCUUGGGUUAGAACAUGAUGGAAGACAAUAUAAGAAAGGGUAUGUACAUAGACUUAUGACUGGGUCCCUAUGCUGUACCACAGAAAUUGGCACAGCAUUGUCAAUCAACUAUACCUUAGUUAAAAAAAAAAAAUUCAACUACGAAAACCAAAAGAAAAGCCACUUAGUGACCUGAGUAAAUCAGAAACCUUCAAUAAUUACAGAUUUCCAGAAAGUGGAGAAUAUCCAGAUAUUAGGUGUGGUUCUUUGUUCAUGACAACAGCUUUUUUUUCUUUGGAGGUCACUUGCUUCACGGUGACCCCAAAAGGCCCUGGGGACCCUUCUUUUAGGACAGUCGUGAGGAAAGGUUUAGGGUGGGGUGAGUCAUUCUGCGCUGGCCUCUGUCUCUCUCUUCCCGAAAAAGAAGAUGAUUAGGUUAAAGGAAGCAUCAAAAGCAGCCUAGGAAGAGAAGAAGCCAGGCGACGUCAACCUGCAGCGAUAAAGACGGGCACAGGGAGGAGUCAGAGUCCUUGUUGCCAAGAUAACCCCUCACUUUGACACC
ensembl:lncRNA